rnacentral:piRNA from 1 species
UCCUUUGGUUACCUACUAUUCUCAGGGU